rnacentral:lncRNA from 1 species
UAAAAAUAGAAAAAAAUUCAAUAACACUGUAUAAUUAGAAUUGAAACUCAAAAAUAAAAUCAAACAUCUGGAUAGAACAAAAGAGCACUAGACAACUAUAACUGAAAAUCUGGAAAGAGCCGAACAACACUUGAAAAAUAAAACCAAAAUAUAAAAGGACAAAGAACAAAAGAGCACUCGACAACUAUAACCGACAAUCUGGAAGGAAACUAACAGGAAGCGACAAUUAGAACUUAAAAUCUGUAAGGAACAUAACAACAC